UACUCAGAUUGGUAUGAGUCA
rnacentral:miRNA from 1 species